rnacentral:rRNA from 1 species
GGUUAAGUGACUAAGCGUACACGGUGGAUGCCUAGGCAGUCAGAGGCGAUGAAGGGCGUGCUAAUCUGCGAAAAGCGUCGGUAAGGUGAUAUGAACCGUUACAACCGGCGAUACCCGAAUGGGGAAACCCAGUGUGUUUCGACACACUAUCAUGUCAUGAAUACAUAGUGGCAUGAGGCGAACCGGGGGAACUGAAACAUCUAAGUACCCCGAGGAAAAGAAAUCAACCGAGAUUCCCCCAGUAGCGGCGAGCGAACGGGGAGGAGCCCAGAACCUGAAUCGGCUUGUGUGUUAGUGGAAGCGUCUGGAAAGUCGCGCAGCAAAGGGUGAUAGCCCCGUACACUAAAAUGCACAGGUCGUGAGUUCGAUGAGUAGGGCGGGACACGUGACAUCCUGUCUGAAUAUGGGGGGACCAUCCUCCAAGGCUAAAUACUCCUGACUGACCGAUAGUGAACCAGUACCGUGAGGGAAAGGCGAAAAGAACCCCGGCGAGGGGAGUGAAAUAGAACCUGAAACCGUGUACGUACAAGCAGUGGGAGCACCUUCGUGGUGUGACUGCGUACCUUUUGUAUAAUGGGUCAGCGACUUAUAUUUUGUAGCAAGGUUAACCGUAUAGGGGAGCCGUAGGGAAACCGAGUCUUAACUGGGCGAAUAGUUGCAAGGUAUAGACCCGAAACCCGGUGAUCUAGCCAUGGGCAGGUUGAAGGUUGGGUAACACUAACUGGAGGACCGAACCGACUAAUGUUGAAAAAUUAGCGGAUGACUUGUGGCUGGGGGUGAAAGGCCAAUCAAACCGGGAGAUAGCUGGUUCUCCCCGAAAGCUAUUUAGGUAGCGCCUCGUGAACUCAUCUUCGGGGGUAGAGCACUGUUUCGGCUAGGGGGCCAUCCCGGCUUACCAAACCGAUGCAAACUCCGAAUACCGAAGAAUGUUAUCACGGGAGACACACGGCGGGUGCUAACGUCCGUCGUGAAGAGGGAAACAACCCAGACCGCCAGCUAAGGUCCCAAAGUCAUGGUUAAGUGGGAAACGAUGUGGGAAGGCAUAGACAGCCAGGAUGUUGGCUUAGAAGCAGCCAUCAUUUAAAGAAAGCGUAAUAGCUCACUGGUCGAGUCGGCCUGCGCGGAAGAUGUAACGGGGCUAAACCAUGCACCGAAGCUGCGGCAGCGACGCUUAGGCGUUGUUGGGUAGGGGAGCGUUCUGUAAGCCGUUGAAGGUGGCCUGUGAGGGUUGCUGGAGGUAUCAGAAGUGCGAAUGCUGACAUAAGUAACGAUAAAGCGGGUGAAAAGCCCGCUCGCCGGAAGACCAAGGGUUCCUGUCCAACGUUAAUCGGGGCAGGGUGAGUCGACCCCUAAGGCGAGGCUGAAAAGCGUAGUCGAUGGGAAACAGGUUAAUAUUCCUGUACUUGGUGUUACUGCGAAGGGGGGACGGAGAAGGCUAGGCUAGCCGGGCGACGGUUGUCCCGGUUUAAGCGUGUAGGGGGUGUGACCUGGUAAAUCCGGUUACAUACUAACCCUGAGGCGUGAUGACGAUGCACUACGGUGCAGAAGUAGUUGAUGCCCUGCUUCCAGGAAAAGCCUCUAAGCUCCAGGUAACAUUAAAUCGUACCCCAAACCGACACAGGUGGUCAGGUAGAGAAUACCAAGGCGCUUGAGAGAACUCGGGUGAAGGAACUAGGCAAAAUGGUGCCGUAACUUCGGGAGAAGGCACGCUGGCAUGUAGGUGAAGUCCCUUGCGGAUGGAGCUGAAGCCAGUCGAAGAUACCAGCUGGCUGCAACUGUUUAAUAAAAACACAGCACUGUGCAAACACGAAAGUGGACGUAUACGGUGUGACGCCUGCCCGGUGCUGGAAGGUUAAUUGAUGGGGUCAGCCGCAAGGCGAAGCUCUUGAUCGAAGCCCCAGUAAACGGCGGCCGUAACUAUAACGGUCCUAAGGUAGCGAAAUUCCUUGUCGGGUAAGUUCCGACCUGCACGAAUGGCGUAAUGAUGGCCAGGCUGUCUCCACCCGAGACUCAGUGAAAUUGAACUCGCUGUGAAGAUGCAGUGUACCCGCGGCAAGACGGAAAGACCCCGUGAACCUUUACUAUAGCUUGACACUGAACAUUGAGCCUUGAUGUGUAGGAUAGGUGGGAGGCUUUGAAGCGUGGACGCCAGUCUGCGUGGAGCCAUCCUUGAAAUACCACCCUUUAAUGUUUGAUGUUCUAACUCGGCCCCGUGAUCCGGGGUGAGGACAGUGUCUGGUGGGUAGUUUGACUGGGGCGGUCUCCUCCCAAAGAGUAACGGAGGAGCACGAAGGUUAGCUAAUCACGGUCGGACAUCGUGAGGUUAGUGCAAAGGCAUAAGCUAGCUUGACUGCGAGAGUGACGGCUCGAGCAGGUACGAAAGUAGGUCUUAGUGAUCCGGUGGUUCUGAAUGGAAGGGCCAUCGCUCAACGGAUAAAAGGUACUCCGGGGAUAACAGGCUGAUACCGCCCAAGAGUUCAUAUCGACGGCGGUGUUUGGCACCUCGAUGUCGGCUCAUCACAUCCUGGGGCUGAAGUAGGUCCCAAGGGUAUGGCUGUUCGCCAUUUAAAGUGGUACGCGAGCUGGGUUUAGAACGUCGUGAGACAGUUCGGUCCCUAUCUGCCGUGGGCGUUGGAAGAUUGAGAGGGGUUGCUCCUAGUACGAGAGGACCGGAGUGAACGCACCACUGGUGUUCGGGUUGUCAUGCCAAUGGCAUUGCCCGGUAGCUAAGUGCGGAAAAGAUAAGCGCUGAAAGCAUCUAAGCGCGAAACUUGCCUCAAGAUGAGUCUUCCCUGGGCCUUUAAGGCCCCUGAAGGAACGUUUAAGACUAAGACGUUGAUAGGCUGGGUGUGUAAGUGCAGCGAUGCAUUGAGCUAACCAGUACUAAUGAUCCGUGAGGCUUAACCUU